AAAUCGCUGCCUUCUGCAGGUUUCCUCCCGGUGCCCAAUCCAGCUGUAUCUCCAGGGCACAAAGUAGGCACUCAGUACAUUCUUGAUGACUAUAUGAAUGGUACAUUAGCUGUGAUCAAGUGAACUCACCAAACUGUCCUUCACGUCUGGUUCCGCCAGAAUUGUAUAGACUCACCUACAGAUGUGUGAGGCUGCACAGUGUGGGACAACUCUUCCCAAUGACGGUGAUGUCACUGAGCUGGCAAAGGCAGGUCAAGACAAGGGAGGGAAAGAGGCUGACAGCCUGCAGACAGAGUAAUAGACAUGGACGCAGAGGAGUGAAAGUGACCAGGAAGGCAGCAAACGAACAAGAAGAUAGAAAAGGAAAAGAAUGUCACAGUGAAAGUUAAAUACAAUUAAGGCUAAAAAGGAGUUAAAUUUGGGCUUCCCUGGUGGUACAGUGGUUAAGAAUCCACCUGCCAAUGCAGGGGACACGGGUUCGAGCCCUGGUCUGGGAAGAUCCCACAUGCCGCGGAACAACUAAGCCCGUGCGCCACAACUACUGAGCCUGUGCUCUAGAGCCCACAAGCCACAACUACUGAAGCCUGCGCACCUAGAGCCCGUGCUCCGCAACAAGAGAAGCCACUGCAAUGAGAAGCCCGUACACCUCAACGAAGAGUAGCUCCCACUUGCCACAACUAGAGAAAGCCCGUGCACAGCAACGAAGA